ensembl:snoRNA
UUCCAAAGUAUUGAGUUCAGUUCAGGGUACCCUCCCUGCUCUGGUAAUUAAAUUUGGAACAUUGGGACUGGCUAGGGAAAGUGUGUGGAUAGAAGUUGUUCUUCUAUUCCUUCAUCCCCAGCCUACAGAU